ACCAACUAUACCUCCGACCUCACUGCAGAGAAAACAAGCAGAAACCUCAGUUCAUCCAGAUUAGGAAUAGCACACAGCUAUGGAACAGAAUGCCUGGCUAGGUGUGGUGGUGCAUGCCUUUAAGUCCGGCAGAAGAAAUAAACCGAAACUUGCAUUACAAGUGUGUCACCAGGGUUUUCUGAAGCUCAAGCCAGGCCCAGCUGAUCUGGAUGUAGAACUCUCAGCUCCUUCUCCAGCACUGUGUCUGCCUGCAGGCUGCCAUGCUUCCCACCAUGACGAUAAUUGGACUAAACCUCUGAACUCCCAGGCCCAGCUGCCCAGGAGAUGGUGGCAUUGCCCACAGUGCUCUGGGCCCUCUCACACCUGUUAGCAAUCACAAACAUGCUCCACAGCUAUGACCCCAGGCCAAUCUGAUGAGCACAGCUCUUCAAUCCUCUCUUCCCAGUUGUGUCAAGCUGGCCACAGAGAUGGGCUGUCAGAGAAGGUUACUGGAUUUAGAGUCACCACAGAAUCACACCUCUGGGCGUGUCUCCGAGCAUGAUUCUAGAAAGCUCUGACUGAGUAAGGAAGACCACCCUGAAUGUGGUCGGGAAUAUCCCAGGACUGAAGAAGAGGAAAUGGCGCUGGACACCAGCAUGCAUCACUCUCCGCUUCCUGACGUCAGAGGGAUAGGACCAGCUGCCGUGCAUGCCUGCCACUGUGCCUUCCAGGCAUGACAAACUGCCUGGAACUGUGAGCUGAAAUAAAGCCUUCCUGAGGUU